rnacentral:rRNA from 1 species
UACGUAGGGGGCAAGCGUUGUCCGGAUUUAUUGGGCGUAAAGAGCGUGUAGGCGGCCAAGCAGGUCAGCUGUGAAAACUCGAGGCUCAACCUCGAGACGUCGGUUGAAACCGCUUGGCUAGAGUCCGGAAGAGGAGAGUGGAAUUCCCGGUGUAGCGGUGAAAUGCGCAGAUAUCAGGAGGAACACCCGUAGCGAAGGCGGCACUCUGGGCCGGAACUGACGCUGAGGAGCGAAAGCGUGGGGAGCGAACAGG